rnacentral:rRNA from 1 species
GGCGCACGGGUGAGUAACACGUAGACAACCUGCCUUCGAGCCCGGAAUAACCUUUCGAAAGAAGGGCUAAUACCGGAUAAGACCCAGGGCCGCAUGGCCUAGGGUUAAAAGGCUUGCUACUCGAAGAGGGGUCUGCGGGACAUUAGCUAGUUGGUGGGGUAACGGCCUACCAAGGCGACGAUGUCUAGCGGGUCUGAGAGGAUGAUCCGCCACACUGGAACUGAGACACGGUCCAGACUCCUACGGGAGGCAGCAGUGGGGAAUUUUGCGCAAUGGGCGAAAGCCUGACGCAGCAACGCCGCGUGAGUGAAGAAGGCCUUUGGGUCGUAAAGCUCUUUUCCAGGGGACGAGGCUGACGGUACCUUGGGAAUAAGCACCGGCUAACUCCGUGCCAGCCGCCGCGG